GUGAGGAAUCUUCCGCAAUGGGCGAAAGCCUGACGGAGCAAUGCCGCGUGAACGAAGAAGGCCUUCGGGUUGUAAAGUUCUGUCCUAGCCGAAGAGAGAGGAAGGGAGUAACUGCCCUGCCUAGGACGGUAGGCUAGGAGGAAGCCCCGGCUAACUACGUGCCAGCAGCCGCGGUAAAACGUAGGGGGCAAGCGUUGUCCGGAAUCACUGGGCGUAAAGGGCGCGUAGGCGGCAAUAUAAGUCAGGUGUGAAAAGUGAGGGCUCAACCGUUAGAGUGCACCUGAUACUGUAUAGCUUGAGUAUGGGAGAGGGAAGCGGAAUUCCUAGUGUAGCGGUGAAAUGCGUAGAUAUUAGGAAGAACACCAGUGGCGAAGGCGGCUUUCUGGCCCAAAACUGACGCUGAGGCGCGAAAGCGUGGGGAGCAAACAGGAUUAGAAACCCUAGUAGUCC
rnacentral:rRNA from 1 species